GACGAACGCUGGCGGCGUGCCUAAUACAUGCAAGUAGAACGCACAGUUUAUACCGUAGCUUGCUACACCAUAGACUGUGAGUUGCGAACGGGUGAGUAACGCGUAGGUAACCUGCCUGGUAGCGGGGGAUAACUAUUGGAAACGAUAGCUAAUACCGCAUAAUAUUAAUUAUUGCAUGAUAAUUAAUUGAAAGGUGCAAUUGCACCACUACUAGAUGGACCUGCGUUGUAUUAGCUAGUAGGUGAGGUAACGGCUCACCUAGGCGACGAUACAUAGCCGACCGGAGAGGGUGGGCGGCCAGCCUGGGAGGGAGACACGGCCCAGACGGCUUCGGGAGGCAGCAGUAGGGAAACUUCGGCAAUGGACGAAAGACUGACCGAGCAACGCCGAGGGAGUGAAGAAGGUUUUCGGAUCGGAAAGCUCUGUUGUAAGAGAAGAACGGGUGUGAGAGUGGAAAGUUCACACUGUGACGGUAUCUUACCAGAAAGGGACGGCUAACUACGUG
rnacentral:rRNA from 1 species